UACGGAGGGGGCGAGCGUUAUUCGGAAUUACUGGGCGUAAAGCGCGUGUAGGCGGGUCUUUAAGUCAGGGGUGAAAUGCCAAGGCUCAACCUUGGAACUGCCUUUGAUACUGGAGACCUUGAGUCCGGGAGAGGUGAGUGGAAUUGCGAGUGUAGAGGUGAAAUUCGUAGAUAUUCGCAAGAACACCAGUGGCGAAGGCGGCUCACUGGCCCGGAACUGACGCUGAGAUGCGAAAGCGUGGGGAGCAAACAGG
rnacentral:rRNA from 1 species